rnacentral:rRNA from 1 species
AGGCAGCAGUGAGGAAUAUUGGUCAAUGGGCGAGAGCCUGAACCAGCCAUCCCGCGUGCAGGAAGAAUGCCCUAUGGGUUGUAAACUGCUUUUUCGCAUGAAGAACACCCCUGACGUGUCAGGGGCUGACGGUAAUGCGUGAAUAAGCACCGGCUAACUCCGUGCCAGCAGCCGCGGUAAUACGGAGGGUGCAAGCGUUAUCCGGAUUUAUUGGGUUUAAAGGAUGCGUAGGCGGCUAUUUAAGUCAGUGGUGAAAUCCUGCAGCUUAACUGUAGAACAGCCAUUGAAACUGAAUAGCUUGAGUAAUCUUGAGGUAGGCGGAAUGUGUAGUGUAGCGGUGAAAUGCUUAGAUAUUACACAGAACACCGAUUGCGAAGGCAGCUUACUAAGGAUUUACUGACGCUGAUGCACGAAAGCGUGGGGAUCAAACAGGAUUAGAUACCCUGGUAG